rnacentral:rRNA from 1 species
CUACGGGGUGCUGCAGUGAGGAAUAUUGCACAAUGGGGGAAACCCUGAUGCAGCAACGCCGCGUGGAGGAUGACGCAUUUCGGUGUGUAAACUCCUUUUAUCAGAGAAGAAAAUGACGGUAUCUGAUGAAUAAGCUCCGGCUAACUCCGUGCCAGCAGCCGCGGUAAUACGGAGGGAGCAAGCGUUAUUCGGAAUCACUGGGCGUAAAGGACGCGUAGGCGGGUUAUUAAGUCAGGUGUGAAAUCCAAUGGCUCAACCAUUGAACUGCACUUGAAACUGGUAACCUAGAGUAUGGAAGGGGCAGAUGGAAUUAGUGGUGUAGGGGUAAAAUCCGUAGAUAUCACUAGGAAUACCGAAAGCGAAGGCGAUCUGCUGGGACAUUACUGACGCUGAGGCGUGAAAGCGUGGGGAGCAAACAGGAUUAGAUACCCCGGUAGUC